GAUGAACGCUGGCGGCGUGCCUAAUACAUGCAAGUCGAGCGAACAGACGAGGAGCUUGCUCCUCUGACGUUAGCGGCGGACGGGUGAGUAACACGUGGAUAACCUACCUAUAAGACUGGGAUAACUUCGGGAAACCGGAGCUAAUACCGGAUAAUAUAUUGAACCGCAUGGUUCAAUAGUGAAAGACGGUUUUGCUGUCACUUAUAGAUGGAUCCGCGCCGCAUUAGCUAGUUGGUAAGGUAACGGCUUACCAAGGCAACGAUGCGUAGCCGACCUGAGAGGGUGAAGGGCCACACUGGAACUGAGACACGGUCCAGACUCCUACGGGAGGCAGCAGUAGGGAAUCUUCCGAAAUGGGCGAAAGCCUGACGGAGCAACGCCGCGUGAGUGAUGAAGGUCUUCGGAUCGUAAAACUCUGUUAUUAGGGAAGAACAAAUGUGUAAGUAACUAUGCACGGCUUGACGGUACCUAAUCAGAAAGCCACGGCUAACUACGUG
rnacentral:rRNA from 1 species